rnacentral:rRNA from 1 species
GAUGAACGCUGGCGGCGUGCCUAAUACAUGCAAGUCGAGCGAACAGACGAGGAGCUUGCUCCUCUGACGUUAGCGGCGGACGGGUGAGUAACACGUGGAUAACCUACCUAUAAGACUGGGAUAACUUCGGGAAACCGGAGCUAAUACCGGAUAAUAUAUUGAACCGCAUGGUUCAAUAGUGAAAGACGGUUUUGCUGUCACUUAUAGAUGGAUCCGCGCCGCAUUAGCUAGUUGGUAAGGUAACGGCUUACCAAGGCGACGAUGCGUAGCCGACCUGAGAGGGUGAUCGGCCAAACUGGAACUGAGACACGGUCCAGACUCCUACGGGAGGCAGCAGUAGGGAAUCUUCCGCAAUGGGCGAAAGCCUGACGGAGCAACGCCGCGUGAGUGAUGAAGGUCUUCGGAUCGUAAAACUCUGUUAUUAGGGAAGAACAAAUGUGUAAGUAACUAUGCACGUCUUGACGGUACCUAAUCAGAAAGCCACGGCUAACUACGU